GACGAACGCUGGCGGCGUGCCUAAUACAUGCAAGUCGAGCGGACGGAUGGGAGCUUGCUCCCAGACCGUCAGCGGCGGACGGGUGAGUAACACGUGGGCAACCUGCCUGUAAGACUGGGAUAACUCCGGGAAACCGGGGCUAAUACCGGAUAACUCUUUCCCUCACAUGAGGGAAAGCUGAAAGAUGGCAUCUCGCUAUCACUUACAGAUGGGCCCGCGGCGCAUUAGCUAGUUGGUGAGGUAACGGCUCACCAAGGCGACGAUGCGUAGCCGACCUGAGAGGGGGAUCGCCCCCCUGGGGCCUGGGCCCCGCCCCAGCCCCCUAGGGGGGGCAGCAGUGGGGAUUCUUCCGAAAGGGCCGAAAGUCUGACGGAGCACCGCCGCGUGGGUGAUGAGGGUUUGCGGCUCGUAAACCUCUUUUGUAGGGGAAGAACAGGUCCGGGAGUAACGGCCGGUACUUGGACGGUCCCUGACAAAAAGCCCCCGGCUACCUCGGU
rnacentral:rRNA from 1 species